rnacentral:rRNA from 1 species
GACGAACGCUGGCGGCGUGCUUAACACAUGCAAGUCGAACGGUGAAGCGCCUUCCUUUUUGGUGGGUGUGGAUGAGUGGCGAACGGGUGAGUAACACGUGAGUAACCUGCCCCCUUCUUCUGGAUAACCGCAUGAAAGUGUGGCUAAUACGGGAUAUUCUGGGUCUGUCGCAUGAUGGGUCUGGGAAAGAUAUUGUUUCGGUGGGGGAUGGGCUCGCGGCCUAUCAGCUUGGUGGUGGGGUGAUGGCCUACCAAGGCGGUGACGGGUAGCCGGCCUGAGAGGAUCAGCGGUCCCACUGGGGCUGAGCGGCGGCCCCGCCUACUACGGGAGGCAGCGGUGGGGAUUAUUGCACAAUGGGCGCCAGGCUGAUGCAGCGCCGCCGCGUGGGGGAUGGAGGCCUUCGGGUUGUGAACCUCUUUCGCCAGUGAAGCAGGCCUGCCUAGUUUGUGGGUGGGUUGACGGUAGCUGGAUAAGAAGCGCCGGCUAACUACGUG